rnacentral:misc_RNA from 1 species
GAUGAAGAACGCGGCGAAAUGCGAUAAGUAGUGUGAAUUGCAGAAUUCAGUGAAUCAUCGAAUCUUUGAACGCACAUUGCGCCCCUUGGUAUUCCAUGGGGCAUGCCUGUUCGAGCGUCAUUUGUACCUUCAAGCCUUGCUUGGUGUUGGGUGUUUGUCUCGCCUCUGCGCGCAGACUCGCCUCAAAACAAUUGGCAGCCGGCGUAUUGAUUUCGGAGCGCAGUACAUCUCGCGCUUUGCACUCAGAACGACGACGUCCAAAAGUACAUUUUUACACUCUUGACCUCGGAUCAGGUAGGGAUACCCGCUGAACUUAAGCAUAUCAAUAAGCGGAGGA